rnacentral:rRNA from 1 species
UGGGGAAUAUUGCACAAUGGGCGCAAGCCUGAUGCAGCCAUGCCGCGUGUGUGAAGAAGGCCUUCGGGUUGUAAAGCACUUUCAGCGGGGAGGAAGGCGGUGAGGUUAAUAACCUCAUCGAUUGACGUUACCCGCAGAAGAAGCACCGGCUAACUCCGUGCCAGCAGCCGCGGUAAUACGGAGGGUGCAAGCGCUAAUCGGAAUUACUGGGCGUAAAGCGCAUGCAGGCGGUCUGUCAAGUCGGAUGUGAAAUCCCCGGGCUCAACCUGGGAACUGCAUUCGAAACUGGCAGGCUAGAGUCUUGUAGAGGGGGGUAGAAUUCCAGGUGUAGCGGUGAAAAGCGUAGAGAUCUGGAGGAAUACCGGUGACGAAGGCGGCCCCCAGGACAAAGACUGACGCUCAGGUGCGAAAGCGUGGGGAGCAAACAGG